rnacentral:snRNA from 1 species
GCAUGUGAGGGUGAACUGGCUGUGACAUCUGUCACACAACUGAUUGCCAGGGUUGAUUUGACUGAUCUGGCUGGCUAGACAGGUGUCUCCUUACCUCACCACUUCAUCUGCAUCUUUUCCAAAGUUGUGCACUUGGUCAAAGAGGAAAAACUUUCCUGAAUAGAGACAGAUCCGUGUUCAGUGGAGGGUAUACAACCAGCUGUGUUUCCCUGCUAGAAGCUCCACACAAUCUCUUGAUUGUAUUUUCUCAUCUGUAGAUGUCUAGUGUUUGGCUCCUAUCAAUAAUACUGCAAAGAAUAUAGGCAUCUGUUUGAAGUU